rnacentral:lncRNA from 1 species
CCCUUCUCUCUUUCUUUUCCUCCAUUAAAGCAUCCUCUUCAAGCUUCUUAUCCAAGGCAAUUCUUGGUGGUGAAGCUCCUUCUUCCUUGGCUUAUUCCCUAGUGAAUGGUGCCUCCCCUCUCCUCUUCUCCUUUGCCUUCCGCUGCAUCUCCAAGGUGAAAAAUCACCAUUGAAGGACCUCAUUGGAGCUCAAGGAUCCAGCCUCCAUAGAAGCCCCA